GAUGAACGCUGGCGGCGUGCUUAACACAUGCAAGUCGAACGGUGAAGGCGGAGCUUGCUCUGCUGGAUCAGUGGCGAACGGGUGAGUAACACGUGAGCAAUCUGCCCCUGACUCUGGGAUAAGCGCUGGAAACGGCGUCUAAUACUGGAUACGAGCUGCGAAGGCAUCUUCAGCAGCUGGAAAGAAUUUCGGUCAGGGAUGAGCUCGCGGCCUAUCAGCUUGUUGGUGAGGUAAUGGCUCACCAAGGCGUCGACGGGUAGCCGGCCUGAGAGGGUGACCGGCCACACGGGGACUGAGACACGGCCCAGACUCCUACGGGAGGCAGCAGUGGGGAAUAUUGCACAAUAGGCGAAAGCCUGAUGCAGCAACGCCGCGUGAGGGACGACGGCCUUCGGGUUGUAAACCUCUUUUAGCAGGGAAGAAGCGAAAGUGACGGUACCUGCAGAAAAAGCGCCGGCUAACUACGUG
rnacentral:rRNA from 1 species